GACAUUCUUUACAAAAGGUUCUAAAAUGUCUUAUGAAAUCCCUAGCGUUUUCCAAAUAUUCUAGAAGUUUUGUGAAGCCCCAAAUUGUCAUAGUUUACCUGUCUCUUGUUGCUACAUCUCAGUGGGAAUAGCCUCUCCCUUUCUUUCCCGUCUUGCCCUCUUCCUCUAAAUGUAGGUCCAGCAUGGAAGGUUAAGAGAUGCACUCCUCAGCCUGUUCACCCACAAAAGGACUUGGAGGAGAUGACAAAAACUAAAAGGACUUCGAGGGUUCUUUUCUCUGCAACAACAGAAGUUGAAGCAGAGAAUGAGAAUGUGAUGAAAUACAACUGACAGGACACUUAUACUCAUCCAGAAAAUGCUGCUAAUCAGAUAGAAUCUAAAUACAAUCAAGAUGCUUUCUCUUUAAGAAGAAUUUGAGAGACAGAGAGAGGGUAACAAAAAAGAACUUUGUCACUUUCACAGCAUUGUGUUAAUAAGCAUGAUCUGAAAUAUGCCACAAACUCAUAAAGUAAUAAGAACUUUAAGUAUUUUGGGCCCAAUACUGCUCUCAGUUACUUCAGCACAAUCCCACAAUCCCUGUGUUGGCAAAAGUAAGAAAAAUGCAAGGAGGCAUCUAAAAUAACAGGC